GUUUUGCUCUGCGCGUUCUGUGAGAAUUAGCAUGUUAGUGAGAUAAUCCGUCCCUUAUUGCUCAGUGAGGAGACAUGACAAAUCAGUUCUGGCUUAUGCUCCUUAUGAAUCUGACUUCAAGGCUGCAUUGGAGGAUUUAGAUAUUGCUUUCUUUGAGUAAGAUACAGCCAUAUCAGUUUGAACCACAAAAGGUUACAGCUCCCUCCAGGACCCAGUUAGACUCUUGGCAAGCAUUAGAGGGAUGUGAGGAUGAUAGACGGCUAAAAGAUGCCAAUUACUUAAUUGCCAGUGAACUGAGGAACACGCUAGUCUCCAGCUGCACUCUGGAUGUUCAUAGAAUCAUAGAACUGGAAAGGACCUCGAGACGUCAUCUAGUCCAGUCCCUUGCACUCAAGAGACUUCAUUGCAGAUCUGGCCAAGCGGCAAGGAAAUCAUCGCAUGUUUCCUGUACAACGGGAACAUGGGAGGACCAAGGCACUUGGGUGCUGACAGUAUGGAGCACCUCCAGUGUAAUGACGAGGGACAGGUCAAUGCAAAGGGAACAGCUGCCUGGAGGUGUGCAGAUGGUCAGUCACCUAUGGGGUUCCUACUCUUGAUGGCCAAUCUGGGCUUCUUCCCAGCCUACAAUGCAGAAUGCUUGUUACAAGCUGAUGUCCACUGAGCCGUGUAUCCUUUUUUUUUUUUUUUUGGUAAUUCAACUGUGCUGGGAUCCUAAUGGUUACAGCAUGUCUGUGUGGCAAGGAGAGAGCUAGGAGCAGGGACAAGUGGGGAAUAGCCUUUGUGUGGCUCACAAUGAGAGGCAAUGGUAAAGGUCACAGUUAGUGAUGGUCCCUGUAUCCGAGUGUAACACUGACAGACCCCAGUCAUCCUCAGGCAGGAUCAAACCUGGGACCUCUGGAGCUAAAUGCAUGAGCCUCUCUACCGCAUGAGCUAAAAGCCACAUGGCCCUUAGCUAAGGCUGUAGCAGACUCAUUAAUCUCUCAGUGCCACUAGAGGGGACAGAAUACCACACCAAGGAGGUGUGUGGGUUACACAAACACCCUGUGCUUUGUGAGCAUUUGCAGACAGAACCUGAAUCCAGAUUUUGAAAAUGGCCCCUGAAUAGCCUGAGGCAAAUGCCCUGGAUUCUAAAACCCUUGAAAUUUGAGGCUCAAAAUCGAGCCCCUUGCCACUAGAAUCUGCUGUGGCCCAGCAUGCUGAUUCUGCCAGCGUACAAGGGGGAUUCCCUGGGUAGCACAGGGCCCAUAGAACAGCCCUACACUGCUUCCUGACCACUUGCUGUCCCUUACGUAGAGUCACACAGGAGAUGAGGUUGGGAGGGACAUCUCAGGGAAAGAAGGAGUUGAGGCUGGAACACAUUGUGCUCUAGCUAUUUUGGGACUCUGGAAUGGUCCAUAGGAAGCCAUUGCAACAAAAGCAAUUCCUGAGGCUGUUCUAAGUUACACUGAGGACAUCUGUGGUCCCUGGUUGGCUCCAGAAUAUGGAGGCUGCACAGCCACUUCUGUACCCUUUCCACCACAAGUCCUGCUCAGAGCCCAGACCUAAAAACAUUUUUUUUAUAACUUGAGCCUGUCUCUAGUUACAGUAUGCAUCACUGGAACAUGUAAUACUAGGGGAAGUAUGGUUCAGUGGAUAGGGCAGGCCCAGAAUUCAUGCACCCAGAGUUGUACUCCUGGCUUUGAAGCUGAUUUGCUUGACCUUGGGCAAAUCUAUCUCCCUGUGCCUCUGUUCAACCCAUCUGUAAAAUGGGCUUAUGACCCUCACCUGCAUUCCGUUCACAACUGACUCCAUGCAACUUUACCAACCCCAAGUUUUCAAACAGCAUUGUUGGGACCUGAAAUAUAAUGAGUGGCCUAACAAUAAUUUUGGUGUUUUCUUCCCCCAAGCUCUGUAACCAAGAGGGCUAGACAGGAUUUUUAAUGAAAACUGAGAUUUUCCCAUAAUCACCUGACUCCGGGAGUUGGGGCUUUUAAGAAAAACACCAAGUGUUAUGACAAAAUUGCAAGCUGGCAAGACAAUGUGUGAUCUUGUGCAUGUCACUUAACUCAGUGUUUCUCAGUCUUUCCAGACUACCGUACCACUUUCAGGAGUCUGUUUUGUCUUGCGUACCCCCAAAUUUCACCUCACUUAAAAACUACUUGGUUACAAAGUCAGACAUAAAAAUACAAAAGUGUCACAGCACACUAGUACUGAAAAAUUGCUUCCUUUCUCCUUUUUAGAAUAUAAUUAUAAAAUAAAUCAAUGGGAAUAUAUUGUACUUACAUUUCAGUGUAUAGUAGAUAGAGCAAUAUAAACAAAUGACUGUAUGAAUUUUUAGUUUGUACUGACUUUGCUAGUGCUUUUUAUGUAGCCUGUUGUAAAACUAGGCAAAUAUCUAGAUGAGUUGAUGUGCCCCUUGGGAGACCUCUGCGAACCCUGAGGGGUACAUGAACCUCUGACUUAACCAUUCUCUAUCUUAGUGUCUCCACCUGUAAACUGGAGAAAAUGCCAUUUGCCGACCUCUGUUUAAUGUACUUGGAGAUCUAUGCCCCAUAAAAGCUAAGUAUUUUUAUGAACUAUUAUUCUAUACAUAUUUUUGGAGAAUGCACCUCACAUAUGUAUGACUUAAGUUCUUUCAGGGCUUUUUGCUUAACUUAAAGUUAAGCACAUGCUUAAGUGCUUUCCUGAAUCUGGGUCUUAAAGAGGAAUAUUUCAGACAUGAGAUUCUAUUCUGUUUUUUCUCCUAUUCUGUACAACAGGCAAAGGUUUUAUGUUUUCUCUAUCAUCAUCUGUGUUUAAUACCAAUGUGUGUAUAUUGUUUUGCUAUAAUGUUUUGUACAAUAGGCCAGUUUACACUGGGGAUUUUGUCGUUCGGCUUUGCCCCAAAUAGGAAAGUAAUGUGCUUAUAAAAUCAAGCCUUUGUAGAUGCUUUGUAAAACUGGCUUGUGCCCUAGCGCUGAGGAGUUCCUUGAAAUCCCGUCUUUCUUCUAUUAGUGGGUAGAAGUUUUUUUUAAAUAAGAAUAAUGCUUAAUUGUUUCAUCUGACAUGAAUGAAAAAUGAGAAACAGCAGCCAAAGCUGAAAUAAAGUCUCUUUUUAGGAGCUGAAAAGAAGAUAGAAGUUAAAAUAUGCAAGUAUGUUGUAGAGCAAGAAAACUGUGAGCUCUAUCAGAAUUAACUAGUGAGAGCUGUUCUUCAUCUCCACCAUACAGCAGAGGUGAUAGACUCCCAGAGCUCCUAUCGAAAGGGUAUUUUAUUUUGGCUAAGACUUGCACAAACUCGAACAAUCACUCCAAUGCAGUGUUUCUCACAGAGUAGGUUACUGCUCCCUGAGGGGGCACAAAGGACUAGCCAGGGGCACAAACAGACCUCUCAAUUGUUCUCUAGUCUCAGCUUUCAUUUAAAAAAAAAUAAAGUAAGUAUCUAGUUCUUUUGUUGAGAAGAAAACCUUCACAGCCUGAGGCCUGGCCCACACUUGGAAGGCUAGGCUGGUAUUGCUUCACUGGUGUACUAUCCCAGCAAAGCGCUCCUAGUGUGGACGCAGCUCAUUCUGGCAAAAGCCCCCCAUAGUGGCAUACUCCAGGAUCAUACUGGGAAAAGCUUUUGCCAGCAUAGCUAUGGUGGUCACAAGUUACAUCUUGGCACACCCCUGACUCACGCAGCCAUGCAAGAAAAAGUUUGUAGUGUAGCCUUGACCUGAGUUUGAAGAGAUCCUGAAACAAUAGCUCUGAAGUUUGAACUUUCCCAUUCCCUUCAGCUCAGAUUCCAGUAAUAUUGAUUUAAAGGUCAGCAUUGUUCACCAUUUCACUGCUCACCAAAGUGGGUAAGAAAGGAGAGGAGGACUCACAAGCUUGGAGAUUCCCAGUUGGGUGGGUGGGGCAAGGAAGAUGUCUGAAUUCAGAUGUAUUUGGAUCUUUAACAACAUGUUGCAGGGUUGCAGAGUAGUUACUGUUUUUAUUUUCCUGAAGGCAGAGGGGGCUCAGCUUUCCAGCAUUUGGGAAAUGUUCUUCUAACUGAAAUCAACAUUUGCUUAAUGGAAGUUGAGUGUUGAGCCAAAAGCAAUGGAAAAAAACAUGCAGCUCUUAGGGGAGAAAAGCUAACUUUUAUUUUGCCCUUACAAGGGCUGACCCAAGCAACCUGGCUGCUUAUACAUCCGCUGGGUUAAAUGAGCAUGAUUAUCACUUUACUAAAGUGGAGAUAUUCCUGUACUGCCUUAUGGUCAGUAUAUUAGCUGACACCAUUUAAUUAAAGCCU